CGAACGAGGCUUCGAGCCGAGUGGCGGACGGGUGAGUAACACGUUGGAACCUACCCCGAAGUGGGGGAUAACUGGCCGAAAGGUCGGCUAAUACCCCAUGGUAUCCGGUUUAUCCGGAUUAAAGCUUUUGCGCUUCGGGAGGGGCCUACGUAGCAUUAGUUUGUUGGUGAGGUAAAAGCUCACCAAGACUACGAUGCUUAGCUGGAUCGAGAGGUUGACCAGCCACACUGGGACUGAGAUACGGCCCAG
rnacentral:rRNA from 1 species